UACAGAGGGUGCGAGCGUUAAUCGGAAUUACUGGGCGUAAAGGGCGCGUAGGUGGUUAUGUAGGUGAGUUGUGAAAUCCCUGGGCUUAACCUAGGAACUGCAACUUAAACGAUAUAGCUGGAGUACGGUAGAGGGUAGCGGAAUUUCCGGUGUAGCGGUGAAAUGCGUAGAUAUCGGAAGGAACACCAGUGGCGAAGGCGGCUACCUGGACUGAUACUGACACUGAGGCGCGAAAGCGUGGGGAGCAAACAGG
rnacentral:rRNA from 1 species